rnacentral:rRNA from 1 species
UCCAAGAAUGUUUCCAUUAAUCAAGAACGAAAGUUAGAGGUUCGAAGGCGAUCAGAUACCGCCCUAGUUCUAACCAUAAACGAUGCCAGCUAGCGAUCCGGCUGUGUUCCUCAAAUGACACGCCGGGCAGCUUCCGGGAAACCAAAGCCUUUGGGUUCCGGGGGGAGUAUGGUUGCAAAGCUGAAACUUAAAGGAAUAGACGGAAGGGCACCACCAGGAAUGGAGCCUGCGGCUUAAUUUGACUCAACACGGGAAAACUUACCCGGCCCGGACACAGGAAGGAUUGACAGAUUAAGAGCUCUUUCUUGAUUCUGUGGGUGGUGGUGCAUGGCCGCUCUUAGUUCGUGGAGCGAUUUGUCUGGUUAAUUCCGAUAACGAACGAGACUCUAGCCUAUUAAAUAGGCGUUCCGAUCUCUCAUGUCGGACGUUCUUCUUAGAGGGAUAAACGGCGUUUAGCCGCACGAGACAGAGCAAUAGCAGGUCUGUGAUGCCCUUAGAUGUCCGGGGCCGCACGCGCGCUACAUUGAAGGAAUCAGCGUGUGCUCUCCCUGUCCGACAGGACUGGGUAACCCGUUGAAACUCCUUCGUGCUGGGGAUAGGARYCUGUAACUAUUUUCCUUGAACGAGGAAUUCCCAGUAAGCACAAGUCAUCAGCUUGUGUUGACUACGUCCCUGGCCUUUGUACUCACCGCCCGUCGCUAUUACCGAUAGAGCGAUUUAGUGAGGUCUUCGGACUGGCGCUCGGAGCGGCCUUCGGGUCACGCGCCGCGGUGCCGGAAAGAUGACCGAACUUGACCGCUUAGAGGAAAUAAAAGUCGUAACAAGGUACCCGUAGGUGAACCUG